rnacentral:rRNA from 1 species
AUCGAUGAAGAACGCAGCGAAAUGCGAUAAAUAAUGUGAAUUGCAGAAUUCAGUGAAUCAUCGAGUCUUUGAACGCACAUUGCGCCCCUCGGUAUUCCGGGGGGUAUGCCUGUUCGAGCGUCAUUACACCCCUCAAGCGUAGCUUGGUAUUGGGCCCUCGCCCCCGUGGCGUGCCCGAAAAACAGUGGCGGUCCGGUGUGACUUUAAGCGUAGUAAAUUUUCAUCCCGCUUUGAAAGAUCCCCCCGUGGCCUGCCAGGCAACCCCAUAUUUCAAUCAUUGACCUCGGAUCAGGUAGGGAUACCCGCUGAACUUAA